AAGUUUUAUCACUAUUUUCCCCUUUGCCUAUGAUGAAUAAAAAUGUAUAAGAGUAGUGGACAGAAGUGAUUUCUGAGAACAUUUUUACUCUGAGGCAUUGUGAAACCACUUGACUGAUCUCAUUGAAGUCUUUCACUUGCCUGUAUUUGAGUUGAUAAUUGCAGAGGCAUAGUGCAGUUUACCCAAAUUCUGCUGCUUCCUGUUUUCUAUUGAACAAGGAUUUACUGCAUGUUCUGUUUCAUCAAUAUUUUUCCUUAAACAUUCUUUAGAAUCUUGUUCGUGUGAAUAAGUUGCCACUCGAAUAAAUGAGAAUUUAAUUAUUAUUUUUUUAUUAUUAAAGAUUUUAUUAGUUAACCUUUUGCAGUGUUGUAAUCCAAGUUUUUGCUCUUCAGGAAUCUGGUGUUGGUCUGAAAUGGUCUCCAAGGGUCAUGUGUUGUGUAAAGGUGGCCCAAGAAGGUGGAUCAAGGUGUGUGUGGAGAUGGCAUCAGUUGAUUUGAGGUUGUCCAAGAAGGUUCAACCUGUAUGAAGACGCCAGCAGUUAAAAUGCAAGAUGUCGGCAUGUAGCCAGUCAUUUCAGAUCUUCUGACUUGCAGUGGAGAUGAAUGACUGGUCAUUUAAACUACUUGCUGGACUUUCGUCCAGUAUCUUCAUGACCACCAUGCUUGUGUCUUUUUGACAGGUACAGUGGCCAGCUCUCCAUAGUGCAAUAUAAUCAAUGUGACUUGGAGGUGUCCAAAGGGUUUCAUUCUCUGCAGUUCUGAAAAAGGAUGAAGUUGAGUUCAUAUGGUUGACUCUUCGGGUGACGUUCCAGUCCCUCCCUUAAGGUGUUCAAAGGGCUUCAUUCUCGGCAGGUCUGGAAAAGGAUAAAGGUGCCUGCAUCUGGUUGACUCAGGAGUUGCAAAUUUAUUGUUUAAGUGUUUGACUUCAAUAAAGUGGUAUUAAUCUGAA